UAGGGAAUCUUCCGCAAUGGACGCAAGUCUGACGGAGCAACGCCGCGUGAGUGAAGAAGGAUUUCGGUUCGUAAAACUCUGUUGUUAGAGAAGAACAGCGCAUAGAGUAACUGUUAUGCGUGUGACGGUAUCUAACCAGAAAGCCACGGCUAACUACGUGCCAGCAGCCGCGGUAAUACGUAGGUGGCAAGCGUUGUCCGGAUUUAUUGGGCGUAAAGCGAGCGCAGGCGGUCAAUUAAGUCUGAUGUGAAAGCCCCCGGCGCAACCGGGGAGGGUCAUUGGAAACUGGUUGACUUGAGUGCAGAAGAGGAGAGGGGAAGUCCAUGUGUAGCGGUGAAAUGCGUAGAUAUAUGGAGGAACACCAGUGGCGAAGGGGACUCUCUGGUCUGUAACUGACGCUGAGGCUCGAAAGCGUGGGGAGCGAACAGG
rnacentral:rRNA from 1 species